UCGUGGAGUGAUCUGUCUGCUUAAUUGCGUUUCAGAUUAUGAGGAAGCAUAAGCAGGUCGGUGUGUUUCGGUAAAACGAGACAGCGCUGACUGAGCUUUCUUCCCAGAAAGCAACGAACGUGACCGCAGCCCUUUGUUGGAAUCAAAUAAUGAUUCCUCUAACUAAGGGGACCGCCAGGUUUCGUAAAACCGGAGGAAGGUUGCGGCAGUAACAGGUCUGUGAUGCCCUUAGA
rnacentral:rRNA from 1 species